rnacentral:lncRNA from 1 species
CUUCAGAACAAACCUUAUUUCUAAUGUAUCUAGGGAUGCAGGUGUUAACAAAACAAUUUUUGUUUUUCAGAUUGCCAGCACUACAAAAAUAAAGACUUCCAGCAAAUAAUUCUUCAGCUUGGAAAGCUGCAAGGACACCCCACCCUCUCUCUGUGCUUUCACUCAUGAUGCAGAGAGAAAGAAGACAUUUGGAGAUCAAAUAAAUUAUGCAAGGAGAAGCUGAUCAAGAGAUCUCAAGAGUUGCGGCUUCCUGGGAUUGUCUGUCAGAGGAAUGAAGAGCGAAAGAAUAACUUUCCGUCGUGAAGAAGGCUGCAUGCAACUCAUCCUGGGUUUGGCAAGCAUAGUAAAUGGCCACGUAGACAAUGCAGAGCAUGCUAACUGCUAACCACGCCCAUGUUUGAGUGAUCCUACAGCCAUUGUUUCUAAUGAAAC